rnacentral:rRNA from 1 species
UCUGGUGAUUUAAGCGCCGGGGUCACACCUGAUCCCAUCCCGAACUCAGCAGUUAAGCCCGGCAGCGCUGAUGAUACUACGGUGCAACCGUGGGGAAAGUAGGCCAUCGCCAGUU